rnacentral:misc_RNA from 1 species
CCGAAACAAACAAAAAGGCUCGCCGCUCGUAUCCUUGUGAGCGAGCGGUGAAUCCUUCUGGCCGACUCAACUUGAAAUUAUGGUUCGAGUCUAGCGUCCAAGUCUUCCUUGCUCCGUUCGCGGAGUGAGGGAGCACCGCAAACAAAAAUUUUGUAAACAAGAAAAAUUUUGAAAUGAAGCAAUAAACAAAGACAAAAAGACGAAAUAAAAACCUCGAGUGGUGGAUCACUCGGCUCGUGGGUCGAUGAAGAACGCAGCUAACUGCGUGCAGACGUGUGAACUGCAGGACACAUGAACACCGACAUUUUGAACGCACAUGGCGGCCUGAAAUAAAUUUCAGGCCAUGUCUGGCUGAGGGUCGGAAACUAAACUAAAAGAAAGAUUGCUCAAGUGACGGGUCUUUGAGGACCUGGUUGGGGAACUUGUAGCGCAUCAACAGUUUUCUCGGUUGUGUGCCAUAGCAUGAGAUUUUUCAAGCUAGAAGGCCGGCCAAAGAUGGUUGAUUGUGCGUACAUGAGCUAAAAAUUCUUUUACUCAAAGUUGCGACCUCAGAGCAGGCAAGAUUACCCGCUAAAUUUAAGCAUAUCAAUAAGCGGAGGAUCGCGAUCUUGGUCAUUUAGAGGAAGUAAAAGUCGUAACAAGGUUUCCGUAGGUGAACCUGCGGAAGGAUCAUUAACGAGUUUUAAUUGUUAGGUUAGAGUUGAGCUGGUUAAUCUAAUUAAUAUGUGCUUACUCUAAUCGAAACAAGUCCACUCAUUACCUUAACACUUGUGAACUUAUUCAUUACAAACAUUAUUAUUUGUUAUUGGAACGUUUGAUUAUUAAAAAGUUAAUA